rnacentral:siRNA from 1 species
UGACUCUGGUAUCUCUGAUCUA